rnacentral:rRNA from 1 species
CGGGACACGUGGUAUCCUGUCUGAAUAUGGGGGGACCAUCCUCCAAGGCUAAAUACUCCUGACUGACCGAUAGUGAACCAGUACCGUGAGGGAAAGGCGAAAAGAACCCCGGCGAGGGGAGUGAAAAAGAACCUGAAACCGUGUACGUACAAGCAGUGGGAGCACGCUUAGGCGUGUGACUGCGUACCUUUUGUAUAAUGGGUCAGCGACUUAUAUUCUGUAGCAAGGUUAACCGAAUAGGGGAGCCGAAGGGAAACCGAGUCUUAACUGGGCGUUAAGUUGCAGGGUAUAGACCCGAAACCCGGUGAUCUAGCCAUGGGCAGGUUGAAGGUUGGGUAACACUAACUGGAGGACCGAACCGACUAAUGUUGAAAAAUUAGCGGAUGACUUGUGGCUGGGGGUGAAAGGCCAAUCAAACCGGGAGAUAGCUGGUUCUCCCCGAAAGCUAUUUAGGUAGCGCCUCGUGAAUUCAUCUCCGGGGGUAGAGCACUGUUUCGGCAAGGGGGUCAUCCCGACUUACCAACCCGAUGCAAACUGCGAAUACCGGAGAAUGUUAUCACGGGAGACACACGGCGGGUGCUAACGUCCGUCGUGAAGAGGGAAACAACCCAGACCGCCAGCUAAGGUCCCAAAGUCAUGGUUAAGUGGGAAACGAUGUGGGAAGGCCCAGACAGCCAGGAUGUUGGCUUAGAAGCAGCCAUCAUUUAAAGAAAGCGUAAUAGCUCACUGGUCGAGUCGGCCUGCGCGGAAGAUGUAACGGGGCUAAACCAUGCACCGAAGCUGCGGCAGCGACGCUUAUGCGUUGUUGGGUAGGGGAGCGUUCUGUAAGCCUGUGAAGGUGUACUGUGAGGUAUGCUGGAGGUAUCAGAAGUGCGAAUGCUGACAUAAGUAACGAUAAAGCGGGUGAAAAGCCCGCUCGCCGGAAGACCAAGGGUUCCUGUCCAACGUUAAUCGGGGCAGGGUGAGUCGACCCCUAAGGCGAGGCCGAAAGGCGUAGUCGAUGGGAAACAGGUUAAUAUUCCUGUACUUGGUGUUACUGCGAAGGGGGGACGGAGAAGGCUAUGUUGGCCGGGCGACGGUUGUCCCGGUUUAAGCGUGUAGGCUGGUUUUCCAGGCAAAUCCGGAAAAUCAAGGCUGAGGCGUGAUGACGAGGCACUACGGUGCUGAAGCAACAAAUGCCCUGCUUCCAGGAAAAGCCUCUAAGCAUCAGGUAACAUCAAAUCGUACCCCAAACCGACACAGGUGGUCAGGUAGAGAAUACCAAGGCGCUUGAGAGAACUCGGGUGAAGGAACUAGGCAAAAUGGUGCCGUAACUUCGGGAGAAGGCACGCUGAUAUGUAGGUGAAGUCCCUCGCGGAUGGAGCUGAAAUCAGUCGAAGAUACCAGCUGGCUGCAACUGUUUAUUAAAAACACAGCACUGUGCAAACACGAAAGUGGACGUAUACGGUGUGACGCCUGCCCGGUGCCGGAAGGUUAAUUGAUGGGGUUAGCGCAAGCGAAGCUCUUGAUCGAAGCCCCGGUAAACGGCGGCCGUAACUAUAACGGUCCUAAGGUAGCGAAAUUCCUUGUCGGGUAAGUUCCGACCUGCACGAAUGGCGUAAUGAUGGCCAGGCUGUCUCCACCCGAGACUCAGUGAAAUUGAACUCGCUGUGAAGAUGCAGUGUACCCGCGGCAAGACGGAAAGACCCCGUGAACCUUUACUAUAGCUUGACACUGAACAUUGAGCCUUGAUGUGUAGGAUAGGUGGGAGGCUUUGAAGUGUGGACGCCAGUCUGCAUGGAGCCGACCUUGAAAUACCACCCUUUAAUGUUUGAUGUUCUAACGUGGACCCGUAAUCCGGGUUGCGGACAGUGUCUGGUGGGUAGUUUGACUGGGGCGGUCUCCUCCUAAAGAGUAACGGAGGAGCACGAAGGUUGGCUAAUCCUGGUCGGACAUCAGGAGGUUAGUGCAAUGGCAUAAGCCAGCUUGACUGCGAGCGUGACGGCGCGAGCAGGUGCGAAAGCAGGUCAUAGUGAUCCGGUGGUUCUGAAUGGAAGGGCCAUCGCUCAACGGAUAAAAGGUACUCCGGGGAUAACAGGCUGAUACCGCCCAAGAGUUCAUAUCGACGGCGGUGUUUGGCACCUCGAUGUCGGCUCAUCACAUCCUGGGGCUGAAGUAGGUCCCAAGGGUAUGGCUGUUCGCCAUUUAAAGUGGUACGCGAGCUGGGUUUAGAACGUCGUGAGACAGUUCGGUCCCUAUCUGCCGUGGGCGCUGGAGAAUU